GCACGUCCCAAUGUGUGUUACAUAAAGAAUUGGUGGCAUAACAUAGUAUUAAGUGGGACACAGAGGGCACACCUACUCCUGCUUCCCGCCAAGCUGGCCGCACUGUCAGACAUCGCCUAGUGGAAUAUUGGAGUGGAUAGCAGUGUAUGACCUCUUUGACUUUCCGCUCCAUGGCCCGACACCUCCACGAUUCGGCUGUGUGCCAGGCUCCAGGAUCACUCCUCACGCAUCUUGGGAAUCCAACCCAGGGCUUCAAAUAAAGGAACGACUGUCUGUCAGAGAUGCUGUGUUGGGGGACAUGUCGAUCCACAUCACCUCUGAAAUCCCUUCCAGUUAGUGUACCCUUUGAAUCUGUGACAUUCUGCACCCUCCAAGAGUCCGUCUACUUCUAAGAAAAUGAGACAAAGAGUUCUUUACAAAAUUGUUGGAGGAGGUCAUUGAAAGGACGUGACUGCUUGUUGACCCAUGAGCUGGACCUGGUCAGACAGAAGUUCCUCACCCUGUCCUUGGAAUGUACACUCUGCCCAUCAUUCCCACUCGAGAGAGCAAUGUGUUGUUGAGACCAUGAAGACUGAACAUGUGGCUGAACCCUGGUAAGGCCUCUAUAUAAACUUUCAAGAUCCUGGCAGGCGGGUGUGGAGAUCUUGUGGCCACCCAAGACAAGCUUUGUAUAUAAGUUCCCUUGCUUAUUAAAUCUGCCACCUACCAACCUGGAGUGGUCUGCCUCUUCCUUCAGUGGCUCCUUGCCUCUUGCCCUUGUAUGGGGCCAGUUUCAGAUUUCAUCUGGGGAGUUCCUGAGGUUUCGAACCAACAGAAG
rnacentral:lncRNA from 1 species